GAUGAACGCUGGCGGCGUGCCUAAUACAUGCAAGUCGAGCGAACGGACGAGAAGCUUGCUCCUCUGACGUUAGCGGCGGACGGGUGAGUAACACGUGGAUAACCUACCUAUAAGACUGGGAUAACUUCGGGAAACCGGAGCUAAUACCGGAUAAUAUAUUGAACCGCAUGGUUCAAUAGUGAAAGACGGUCUUGCUGUCACUUAUAGAUGGAUCCGCGCUGCAUUAGCUAGUUGGUAAGGUAACGGCUUACCAAGGCAACGAUGCAUAGCCGACCUGAGAGGGUGAUCGGCCACACUGGAACUGAGACACGGUCCAGACUCCUACGGGAGGCAGCAGUAGGGAAUCUUCCGCAAUGGGCGAAAGCCUGACGGAGCAACGCCGCGUGAGUGAUGAAGGUCUUCGGAUCGUAAAACUCUGUUAUUAGGGAAGAACAAAUGUGUAAGUAACUGUGCACAUCUUGACGGUACCUAAUCAGAAAGCCACGGCUAACUACGUG
rnacentral:rRNA from 1 species